UACGUAGGGUGCAGGCGUUAAUCGGAAUUACUGGGCGUAAAGCGUGCGCAGGCGGUUUGCUAAGACCGGUGUGAAAUCCCCGGGCUUAACCUGGGAACUGCGCUUGUAACUGGCAAGCUUGAGUGUGGCAGAGGGGGGUGGAAUUCCACGUGUAGCAGUGAAAUGCGUAGAGAUGUGGAGGAACACCGAUGGCGAAGGCAGCCCCCUGGGCUAACACUGACGCUCAUGCACGAAAGCGUGGGGAGCAAACAGG
rnacentral:rRNA from 1 species